rnacentral:lncRNA from 1 species
AACGAUGUCGUGAGGAGGAAACAACGACGUUUGGAGAAGUGGAUGAGGAAACGACGUCGUUUGGAGAAAGGGUGGUAGACGGUUGGGAUGAGGUGAGGUGGACAGUCCGGAUAAGAGGCUGGUGGGGUAUAAAUAAGAGAAGAGAAAGAAAAAAAAAGAAAACGAAGAGAAAAGAAAAGAAAGAAAAUAGAGAAGAGAGAGAUCGGGGGGGAGAGAAGGUUCGAGAGAGAGAGAAAGGAGCCAGAUUGGAGAGAAACA